CACUUCAGGAUGAAACUAAAGAACUUGAACAACUCUUUAGCCGGAGGAAUACUCUUAUAGCUAAAAAGAUGAGUACUCAAAAAAGAUAAGGAACUUGGGCCCGUUAUCUUCUGAUGCUUUUGAGACGUAUAGACGGAGGAGCAUCAAAGAGUUGCAGAAGAUGCUUCACAGAUGCAACGAGCAGCUCCGAUAGUUUAGUCAUGUAAACAAGAAAGCACUUGAUCAGUACGUGAACUUCACAGAGCAAAGGAAGUGAGCAUCUCACAUGGACCGUGUCUUUAGUUUUGUUCAGUAUUUAUAUGAUGGAGAUUGUCGCUAAAAGCCGGAUAUUCUUUUUUGAUUCAUUUCUGUCGUCAUUGUUUAUUGUGCAAGAUUAUUUAUUAUGCAAGAUUAUUUAUUCUCUCAUUAUGUGUACUAUAAAGAAAAAUAUUUAUGUCAUUCUUGUGGAAAAUGUAGAUGAA